GCAUGGGCCGUUCUUAGUUCGUGGAGUGAUCUGUCUGCUUAAUUGCGUUUCACUAAGGGCCCAUAAAUUCAAGGUAUGUUAGCUAUCGUUUCUCAAUUGACCCCUUGUCUUCGAUAAGCGCGUGUCUUUUAGAGUUUAAACAUUGCGCAUGCUGUUGGGUCCUGAAAGCAACGAACGUGACCGCAACGUCUUAUUGCCUUUAUCUUGCUAUAUUUUAAUUUAAUUAAAAAUAGCUAACAGAGGCUAAUUUAAAAUUAGACGGACCGCUGUACUUUUCUUAAACCAGAGGAAGGUUGCGGCAAUAACAGGUCUGUGAUGCCCUUAGAUGUUCCGGGCUGCACACGUGCUACAAUGAUCAGUACAGUGAGCAUCUCAAUAUUAUACACCGUAUUAAGCGCUUAGUUGCGAUUAUUGGCUCAUUAUUGGGUCUUUUAAUUGUAUUUCUAAUGCGCGCGGUAAAGCCUGCUUCGAGAGUAAGUGGGUAAUCCAUUGGAAGUAAUGAUUUCUCUUUUUAUAGCACACCUAUAUACGGCAUUCAUUCCCGGGACGACUAGUUUCGUC
rnacentral:rRNA from 1 species